rnacentral:rRNA from 1 species
AUUGAACGCUGGCGGCAUGCCUUACACAUGCAAGUCGAACGGUAACAGGUCUUCGGAUGCUGACGAGUGGCGAACGGGUGAGUAAUACAUCGGAACGUGCCUAGUAGUGGGGGAUAACUACUCGAAAGAGUGGUUAAUACCGCAUGAGAUCUACGGAUGAAAGAAGGGGAUCGCAAGACCUUGUGCUACUAGAGCGGCCGAUGGACGAUUAGGUAGUUGGUGGGAUAAAAGCUUACCAAGCCGACGAUCUGUAGCUGGUCUGAGAGGACGAUCAGCCACACUGGGACUGAGACACGGCCCAGACUCCUACGGGAGGCAGCAGUGGGGAAUUUUGGACAAUGGGCGAAAGCCUGAUCCAGCAAUGCCGCGUGCAGGAUGAAGGCCUUCGGGUUGUAAACUGCUUUUGUACGGAACGAAACGGUGAGCCCUAAUACAGUUUGCUAAUGACGGUACCGUAAGAAUAAGCACCGGCUAACUACGUGCCAGCCGCCGCGGUAA